rfam:Oryza sativa Japonica Group DNA, chromosome 11, cultivar: Nipponbare, complete sequence.
AACCACACUAUCAAUGAAAGGAUUCACCCGCGAGAUGACGUGGCUGUUUCACAAAGGACGAGGGCGUGGCAUCCUAUUACCAGCCAUCGCACGAAAUUAAUAUGAUAUGCCACAUCAUCAUCCUAGAUGGAAUAACUACGUCAUCACACGGGUGAAUCCAUUCAUCGAUAGUGUGGUU